UUCCCCAGAUUGUGUCGGCUAGCGCGCGCCGCAAACGUAAACAGGAAUCUGCAUUGCAUUUUAACAGUCAAAAAAUAUUUCCGUCAUUCACGAUCCGGUAUUAGUGCGUUAUUAUACGUUAAUAAUUGACAAAUAUGAAACUCUACCCAUUUGAAUACUGCUGCUUCUGCGUUGAUCUACGCCUGGGCUCACUUAUUAUAGGAUGUAUAAAUUUGAUUGGUAAUAUAGUUCUGGAAGUAUUUGCUUGCUAUGGCCUUGAAGGCGGGGUGCUUCUGCAGUCCCUAAAUAUCAUCGGGGCAAAUGAAUUGGGCGUGUCUUUGGUCGUCAGUAAUUCCAUACUUGUGGUUAUUAUAGCCGUGUUCAUUGGGUUCUGUUGCUUGCUUCUUUUCGGAAUUUAUAAGAAUAGGCGCUCAUUUGUCAAGAUGUAUCUUAUCUAUGCGCUUGUGUUUCUUGUGGUAUACGCUAUAACAUUCUUCGUUCAGUUGGGCAAUGGAAUUACUGGAGUCGGCGAUAUAAUAGAAGGAGUCGUAACCAUUUUUUGCAACAUUUAUUUCAACCUGGUGAUCAAGAGUUACUACGAUGUGAUGCUAGUUGGUGAUGUACAGGCUACCUAUCGCUCAUAAAUCGUUUCAGUUAGAUUCUGAUGUCUCCACGAAUAAAUUUGUAAACUAAAACCUUUUAAAAAUCGAGUUUUUUUUAUUUCACACAUACACAUUACACAUGAUCAUGUAGACCUUUCAUCAGCGGAUACAAAUCACUGCUAUGACUUCUCGACUUGGUCAGCCGCAGUGGCUAACCACUAUUGGAGAGGCCAGUAUUAAGACUGGAUGGAGGUCUUUUCUUUAGGUUGGAGGAAGUGCACAACAUCCAGUGCAUCCAUCCAACAACCAAGUGCCAGGCGAGUGAACUAUAAUGUAUGAGAGGCCAAAUGUAUGAAAUUCAUGCAACGAUCGAAUGAAUUGUGCUAUAAAUAUUUUCAGAGUAAAUUAAGCAUAUUUGAUGGUACUAAAAGAAACUAUAUUUAUGAUGAUAGCUUUUCAGAAGAUCAUCAUGAAGAUAUUUUAUGGUGUAGAUGGUUUUUACUAUGUUAAAUUUAAGGAGGAGGUAGACAAUAAAAGUUAAGUUAAAAUUAAAGUAAAAGAGCGUCUCAUUUCGUUGUGUGUUUAUUAAUUUAUUUCCAAUUUAUAGUAACAUGGCCAAAUUUCUUUAUUAUUGACUUUAUAAAUAAGACAUUAUUAUAAAUCAACAGCUUUUGCUACAACAACCUUUUGCUAUCUAUAAACCCCCCCCAUACGCCUCAUAAAUAGAUCGUUCUCCGUCGAAGAGUCGAGAAAACUAUUAAGCUGUGAGAGUCAGCGGGGAAUGGGAGGAUGCACAGCAAAAAAGGUAUUUUUUCCAGCAGGGUUGAUAAUUGUCCGGAAUAGUCAGUACAGUCUCAUACUCUCUCCCAGCAAGUAUGCGCUUUCCGUAUCGUUAAUUAUUAUUCUUAAACCGAAUUUCAUACCCUACUAAGUUUCUUCUUCUAGUAAUUCAUACCAUAAACCCCCAUCAAGAACUUAGUAUAAUAGAGGUAAGGAAGGAAGUUGUACCUUCUUUUAUAUAAGUUUUCAAGGAACUUUUUUUGCACCCAUUCAUGAGGAGACCAUAAUAUGAUGCAGCUGGUUUCGAGAAUUGACCUUAUUAAUAACGAAUAUAGCGCCCUGGUGGCAGUGUUCGAGAGACCAGCUGACCAGUUUCGCAGGACAAACCCUAACCUCCUAAAGGCAUCACAUGUAAUUGUCCGAAUAUGCUCCACAAAUUAGCAAUCUGAUACGGACUCUAUUUUCCCGUUUGUAUUUGAGAUUACAUAUUAUAAAACAAAAUUUUCCUUAAAAAUUUGGGUAAUAUAAGGAAAAAUUAUAAAAUAAUAUGUUCUAUUUAAGCUAUUAUUACGCUAGCAGUCAUACUGAUCUGACAAAUUUUGUAUCCUUCAAACCUGAACAAGUAAGUUUUAGAAAUGCUUUAAUAAAAUUUGUAUUUGUAAAACUAAAGGGCUAAUAUUGGCUUCAAGUGUGCGAAGAUUGUUUACAUUUGGUUUACGCUUUUAAUUAUUAACUAACUACUGAAACUUAACAAUAGUUUCUCGUAAUAUGCAAUUCAUUUAUAUCAAAAUCUAAGGGAGCGGGAUUAAUGAUUUAAUAGAUGUACAGUACAAAUGCGGUAUAGUUUUAAACAUAACAAUUAUUAAGCUUUAUUGAUUAAGUGUACGACCAAACGACCAAUAAUGGUUUUGUUAAACAACAGUUUUGACUCUUUUCAGAGGGCUAAAGAUGGACGUAUUGACAGCUAAGAACCUAUGUGUUGCGUCUUUUCAAAUAGCCAUCAAUAUUAUGAUAAUAGCUAAAAGUGGCGCAGACAUUUAUAAGUAUUCGAAGUUACAACAACUAGCAUAUUAUAGCCUAAGCCAGAAAAAUUCUGAUCAAUCACGUUUAGAAAAAUUUAUAAGUAAAAUUAAUUGCAUUUACGCUGUCGAAGGUAUUCUUAUAGGCCUAACAGUGAUAUAUCUUGUUUUUAAUGUGAUUUUGCUUAUUGGAUUAUGUAGGAAAAAGCGAAUUUUGAUCAAAAUCUACUUGAUUGCGACACCAGCUUUUAUCAUUUCCCGUACGGUGUUGUAUGCAUGCCAAUUCGCACGUGUUGCAAACGAUGAACUUUUUCAACUGGGCUAUUAUUUGAACUCAGCAUUUUACGUUCUGAACAUUAUCUUUGUAUUACUCGACAUUAUGUUUUGUUUCAACUUUGCCGUAGUAUAUAAAACAUCGGAAAAUCACGAGAAUAUGCCACAUGGUAUCCACUAAUACAAAUUUUUAGAAUAAAUA